rnacentral:misc_RNA from 1 species
ACAUUAUUUGAUUGUUGUAACUGUUACUUGUUUUCUGAAUGUUAUGUAGUGUUUUCCCUAUUGUUUGUAAUGUCCUCAUUACUUUUGGAUUUUUCUCUUCAAACAACUUUGAUUAUACGUUGCUUGAGUCUAGGGUCUUUCAGAUACAACCUCUUUACCUCCAGGAGGUAGGGCUAAAGUCUGAGUACAUUCAAUUCUACCUGGAUCCCACCACCUGUGGGAUUACACUGGGUAUGUUGUUGUUGUUGGAUAAAGUCAA